rnacentral:rRNA from 1 species
UACGUAGGGUGCGAGCGUUAAUCGGAAUUACUGGGCGUAAAGCGUGCGCAGGCGGUCUGUUAAGACCGAUGUGAAAUCCCCGGGCUUAACCUGGGAACUGCAUUGGUGACUGGCAGGCUUUGAGUGUGGCAGAGGGAGGUAGAAUUCCACGUGUAGCAGUGAAAUGCGUAGAGAUGUGGAGGAAUACCGAUGGCGAAAGGCAGCCUCCUGGGCCAACACUGACGCUCAUGCACGAAAGCGUGGGGAGCAAACAGG